rnacentral:rRNA from 1 species
AUUGAACGCUGGCGGCAUGCCUUACACAUGCAAGUCGAACGGCAGCACGGGGCAACCUGGUGGCGAGUGGCGAACGGGUGAGUAAUGCAUCGGAACGUACCUUUCAGUGGGGGAUAACGUAGCGAAAGUUACGCUAAUACCGCAUAUUCUGUGAGCAGGAAAGCAGGGGAUCGCAAGACCUUGCGCUGAUUGAGCGGCCGAUGUCAGAUUAGCUAGUUGGUGAGGUAAAGGCUCACCAAGGCGGCGAGCUGCAGCGGGUCUGAGAGGAUGAUCCGCCACACUGGAACAGAGACACGGUCCAGACUCCUACGGGAGGCAGCAGUGGGGAAUUUUGGACAAUGGGGGCAACCCUGAUCCAGCCAUGCCGCGUGAGUGAAGAAGGCCUUCGGGUUGUAAAGCUCUUUCGGCCGGGAAGAAAUCGCACGGGCUAAUACCCUGUGUGGAUGACGGUACCGGAAUAAGAAGCACCGGCUAACUACGUGCCAGCAGCCGCGGUAACAC